AUGGGACGGUGCUAAGCCCUGUGCAGGCAUCAUCUUGUGAUGUCCUGAGAGUUGUACCCCCAAAGCAUACCAGCAUGGGGACCAAGAGACAGGAUCCAAUGGCCAUCUGUUUCACCAACAGGACAAAAGGAGCUCCCACACUGAUCCGCGUCUGCAGAACACAGCUGUGUGGAGACAGGAAGUCAAGAACCAAUGGCCAUCUACUUCACCAGUGGGACCACAGGCUCUCCCAAGAUGGCCCAGCACUCUCAGAGCAGCCUUGGAACUGACUACACCCUCUGUGGAAGGUAUUGGCUAGACCUGAGUCCUCAGAUGUCAUAAACAACAUGUCCAACACUGGCUGGGUCAAGGCCACCAUUGGCAGUGUGUUUUCUUCCUGGCUUCAGGGA
rnacentral:lncRNA from 1 species